ACUUUGAUUCUGGCUCGGGACGAACGCUGGCGGCGCGCCUAACACAUGCAAGUCGAGCGGGAAGCUUUUUAAGGAUUCUUCGGAUGAAUUAAAAAGUGGAGAGCGGCGGACGGGUGAGUAACGCGUGAGAAACCUGCCCUAUACAGGGGGAUAGCCAUUGGAAACGAUGAUUAAUACCCCAUAUGACCACGGUAUCGCAUGAUACAGCGGUGAAAACUCCGGUGGUAUAGGAUGGUCUCGCGUCUGAUUAGCUAGUUGGUGGGGUAACGGCCUACCAAGGCGACGAUCAGUAGCCGGCCUGAGAGGGUGACCGGCCACACUGGAACUGAGACACGGUCCAGACUCCUACGGGAGGCAGCAGUGGGGAAUAUUGCACAAUGGGCGAAAGCCUGAUGCAGCGACGCCGCGUGAACGAUGAAGGCUUUCGAGUCGUAAAGUUCUGUUCUUGGGGAAGAUAACGACGGUACCCAAGGAGAAAGCACCGGCUAAAUACGUGCCAGCAGCCGCGGUA
rnacentral:rRNA from 1 species